UACGUAGGGUGCAAGCGUUAAUCGGAAUUACUGGGCGUAAAGCGUGCGCAGGCGGUUAUGUAAGACAGAUGUGAAAUGCCCGGGCUUAACCUGGGAACUGCAUUUGUGACUGCAUGGCUAGAGUUUGGCAGAGGGGGGUAGAAUUCCACGUGUAGCAGUGAAAUGCGUAGAUAUGUGGAGGAACACCGAUGGCGAAGGCAGCCCCCUGGGUCAAGACUGACGCUCAUGCACGAAAGCGUGGGGAGCAAACAAGGAU
rnacentral:rRNA from 1 species